rnacentral:tRNA from 1 species
AAGUAGCCGCCGGAUGAACGGAUAUCAUUGAUGUUGAUAAAUAUGAGGUUUACCUUGCUGCUUU